AUAUAUAUAUCAAAUAAAACCAUCUUAUUUCGAUCGAUCUACUGGGCAAACGAACGAUAAGGUUUGUCACAAUACAGGGAGAAAUAGAAACACAUGAGAUAUUAAACUGGAGCAAACCCAAAUAAAAAUCAUUACCCUCAAACAAAACGUGGAAGAAAUUCAUUGCAGAUUAUACAAAGGUAAGGACAUGGAUAGUAAGGAAACCGAAAGUCAACUUUUCGAUCAGGUACUUAAACAUAAUGAUUGUGGGAGACUCUUAUCAUUUUUAGAAAGUACAUUAACAAGAUGGAGAAAAAAUUAAAAGUUAUCUUAUGAAAAGAUGUAGAAUUAACGUAUACAGUAAUUAAUAACGGCAAGUUUUCAAUGCCAGACACGUAGAUCAAAUUCUGACGAAAAUCACAGAUUAGGGCAAUAUGUUAGAGUUCCACCUGUUAAAAAAAUUAAACAUUAAUUACAACCUUACCUCAAAGAAGUUCACCCUGUAAGUCAUUAUUGGGUACGAAGAUCCUUUGAGUCACUUCUAAACCUAUAGAAGUAGUAAACCACCUUAGAAACCUAAAUGAGUGGACGAAUUGGAAGGAUGUACUUCAAUAAUUAAGUCCUCAAUACGUUCUAUUCCCAUAAAUUAAGUCCUCAAAAUUUGCAUAGUGACUGAUGAAGCGCCUAAGCUUUGAGCAUGUUCUCAUCAGUCCUAAGGAAAAAACAAUUGAGGCAGAGCGAUUGGGAAAGACGGACGACCUAUAGAACUUUAACUAUGGUGGGAGUAAUCAUGCAAAAAGGGUUCAACCUCCCUAAGAAAAACUAAAUUGGAUUACAGACCAAGCAAGGGACUACCGAGAAGAGGAGAAUCAGAGGCGUGCACUUUGAAAACCAAGCUACUGCAAUACUUGUGAAGGAUUCAACUACCAGAAAUGCCACGAGAAAACAUGGGCCCAAAUAGAAAUAAGAAUCCCAGGUAGAAAGAUUAGGGCUGAACCUAUAAUAUUUUUUCCAGAAUCAUCAAUGAAAAAUUAGAUGGUAGCUAAACUCCGGCGAGGUCCAAGUUUCAUAUUCGAAGGAGAGCUGGUGCACGUGGAAUGGUAGGUAGUUGAGGGAAGAGCACAUAAGAAAGAACAAAGCAGACAUAUGAGAUAAGAAAGCACAACAUCACAGCAGUCUACAACGUUGAUACAAUCUAAUGAUCAAGAGGGCCAAAAGGCACAAAGAGUUGUGUCGCCCAUACUACUAAAGUAUAA
rnacentral:lncRNA from 1 species